ensembl:ncRNA F22E10.6 ncRNA
GCCAAGUAACUUUACUACGAAACAUCUCAGACAUGGAUUGUGCAACGGCACUUGACUGACAGUCGAAUCAUAUGGUGGCAGCAUCAUCAAUUGCAUAAUGAAAAAUCCAUGAUCAUAUCGCCAACCCUGUAUCGGAUUCAAAUGACACCACCCGAAAACGCAAAAGUCACUGCUGGAUUCACCGGACUGCGGUUAGCUAGUCAUAUGGGUUAUGCCUGCACGAUCAACAAGAGCC